rnacentral:rRNA from 1 species
GACGAACGCUGGCGGCGUGCUUAACACAUGCAAGUCGAACGGAAAGGCCCUGCUUUUGUGGGGUGCUCGAGUGGCGAACGGGUGAGUAACACGUGAGUAACCUGCCCUUGACUUUGGGAUAACUUCAGUAAACUGGGGCUAAUACCGGAUAGGAGCUCCUGCUGCAUGGUGGGGGUUGGAAAGUUUCGGCGGUUGGGGAUGGACUCGCGGCUUAUCAGCUUGUUGGUGGGGUAGUGGCUUACCAAGGCUUUGACGGGUAGCCGGCCUGAGAGGGUGACCGGCAACAGUGGGACUGAGAUACGGCCCAGACUCCUACGGGAGGCAGAAGUGGGGAAUAUUGCACAAUGGGCGGAAGCCUGAUGCAGCAACGCCGCGUGCGGGAUGACGGCCUUCGGGUUGUAAACCGCUUUCGCCUGUGACGAAGCGUGAGUGACGGUAAUGGGUAAAGAAGCACCGGCUAACUACGUG